rnacentral:rRNA from 1 species
AGUGAACGCUGGCGGUAGGCCUAACACAUGCAAGUCGAACGGCAGCACAGUAAGAGCUUGCUCUUACGGGUGGCGAGUGGCGGACGGGUGAGGAAUACAUCGGAAUCUACUUUUUCGUGGGGGAUAACGUAGGGAAACUUACUCUAAUACCGCAUACGACCUACGGGUGAAAGCAGUGGAUCUUCGGACCUUGCGCGAUUGAAUGAGCCGAUGUCGGAUUAGCUAGUUGGCGGGGUAAAGGCCCACCAAGGCGACGAUCCGUAGCUGGUCUGAGAGGAUGAUCAGCCACACUGGAACUGAGACACGGUCCAGACUCCUACGGGAGGCAGCAGUGGGGAAUAUUGGACAAUGGGCGCAAGCCUGAUCCAGCCAUACCGCGUGGGUGAAGAAGGCCUUCGGGUUGUAAAGCCCUUUUGUUGGGAAAGAAAAGCAGCAGGUUAAUACCCCGCUGUUCUGACGGUACCCAAAGAAUAAGCACCGGCUAACUUCGUG